rnacentral:lncRNA from 1 species
CUGACCUUAAACUGCAAGGGGAAAAAGAAUAUCCAUACAUAACCGCAGCACUAAGGCAACGGGAGGGGGGCCUGGCACGCCGGAGCUCUCCCAAAUGGACCAGCGCAUUGGGGAAAGCGCAUACACCGGCACAUGCUCCGACAGCGACAGUGAAUGUUUAAAAAAAGAUGACGGGAUGAGAGGGGAAAAGAAUCUCCUGUUCACCCUAACAAUGACAGGAGUGUUACACGGAGAUCGGCCCAUGUAUCUCUCUCACACUGAGGGCCGCUGAGAGGGUCCGUUUGACUUCAGCUGUUGAACUACAGUAUAGAAUAAGAUCCAGUGAGCAGCUCCGUUUAUAGUAUUUUAUUUUACCCAGAAUUCACUAGUGUCUAUGUUUUGUUUUUACCAUCUCUUUAAGUAAUUUUUAAUUAUUGUUUCUAUUGUAUUUUAUUUUAUUUUAUUCUAGAUUUUACUUUUAUUUGAAUAAAAUACUUCAACUGCAC